rnacentral:rRNA from 1 species
UACGGAGGGUGCAAGCGUUAUCCGGAUUCACUGGGUUAAGGGCUACGUAGGCGGCCCUCUCAGUCGGAUGUGAAAUCCCCAGGCUUAACCUGGGAACGGCAUCCGAUACUGGAGGGCUUGAAUUCGGGAGAGGGAUGCAGAAUUCCGAGGUGUAGGCGGUGAAAUGCGUAGAUAUCUGGAGGAAUACCGGUGGCGAAGGCGGCAGUCCGAU